rnacentral:rRNA from 1 species
UACGUAGGGUGCAAGCGUUAAUCGGAAUUACUGGGCGUAAAGCGUGCGCAGGCGGUGAUGUAAGACAGGUGUGAAAUCCCCGGGCUUAACCUGGGAACUGCAUUUGUGACUGCAUCGCUGGAGUGCGGCAGAGGGGGAUGGAAUUCCGCGUGUAGCAGUGAAAUGCGUAGAUAUGCGGAGGAACACCGAUGGCGAAGGCGGCAUCCUGGACCGGUAUUGACGCUGAGGCGCGAAAGCCAGGGGAGCAAACGGG